rnacentral:tRNA from 1 species
GUGGUCGUAGCUCAACUGGUUAGAGCGCUGCCCUGUGGCGGCAGAGGUUGCGGGUUCAAGUCCCGUCGAUCACC